CUGUUUGGUUGGCUAUGGUGGAUAGGACUAUGGAUCAAUGUCGAUGACUUCAGGUGAUGCCCUCCAACCAAAGGCCUCUCAUGGAGCCACGAAACACUUCCGCGGUUAUCCCCUCGUCUCACGGUGGAGCUUAUUCAGAAAAAAAUCGCCGCUGCAUUUGAAAACUGAGAAAUUUUCUCUGUUCCUUGGAGGUUGUGACCCGUAUACAAGAAUGCACAAAGGGUGUCCAAUUUGUUUGUCCUUGAAUAAUGCUUCUCAAUUGCUGCUGUUAUGUUGCUGUUAUGCUUAUCUACUUUUGGAUUUUGUGUAAUUGGUAGGCUGUCAAUGUUCGUCUUUUGUUUGUUUGUUUGUUUUUUUUUUUUGCUGUAUAGCGCAUGAAAUUUUCUCAUUUUAUUUCUUAUUUACAGACCAAAGAUAAUAAUACUUCCGAAACAGCUUUGUAGAUC